AAGCACCGGCUAACUCCGUGCCAGCAGCCGCGGUAAUACGGAGGGUGCGAGCGUUAAUCGGAAUUUACUGGGCGUAAAGCGCAUGCAGGUGGUUUGUUAAGUCAGAUGUGAAAGCCCGGGGCUCAACCUCGGAAUUGCAUUUUGAAACUGGCAGACUAGAGUACUGUAGAGGGGGUAGAAUUUCAGGUGUAGCGGUGAAAAUGCGUAGAGAUCUGAAGGAAUACCGGUGGCGAAGGCGGCCCCCUGGACAGAUACUGACACUCAGAUGCGAAAGCGUGGGGAGCAAACAGGAUUAGAUACCCUGGUAG
rnacentral:rRNA from 1 species